GGGUUGUGAGGUUAAGCGACUAAGCGUACACGGUGGAUGCCCUGGCAGUCAGAGGCGAUGAAGGACGUGCUAAUCUGCGAUAAGCGUCGGUAAGGUGAUAUGAACCGUUAUAACCGGCGAUUUCCGAAUGGGGAAACCCAGUGUGUUUCGACACACUAUCAUUAACUGAAUCCAUAGGUUAAUGAGGCGAACCGGGGGAACUGAAACAUCUAAGUACCCCGAGGAAAAGAAAUCAACCGAGAUUCCCCCAGUAGCGGCGAGCGAACGGGGAGCAGCCCAGAGCCUGAAUCAGUAUGUGUGUUAGUGGAAGCGUCUGGAAAGGCGCGCGAUACAGGGUGACAGCCCCGUACACAAAAAUGCACAUGCUGUGAGCUCGAUGAGUAGGGCGGGACACGUGGUAUCCUGUCUGAAUAUGGGGGGACCAUCCUCCAAGGCUAAAUACUCCUGACUGACCGAUAGUGAACCAGUACCGUGAGGGAAAGGCGAAAAGAACCCCGGCGAGGGGAGUGAAAAAGAACCUGAAACCGUGUACGUACAAGCAGUGGGAGCACGCUUAGGCGUGUGACUGCGUACCUUUUGUAUAAUGGGUCAGCGACUUAUAUUCUGUAGCAAGGUUAACCGAAUAGGGGAGCCGAAGGGAAACCGAGUCUUAACUGGGCGUUAAGUUGCAGGGUAUAGACCCGAAACCCGGUGAUCUAGCCAUGGGCAGGUUGAAGGUUGGGUAACACUAACUGGAGGACCGAACCGACUAAUGUUGAAAAAUUAGCGGAUGACUUGUGGCUGGGGGUGAAAGGCCAAUCAAACCGGGAGAUAGCUGGUUCUCCCCGAAAGCUAUUUAGGUAGCGCCUCGUGAAUUCAUCUCCGGGGGUAGAGCACUGUUUCGGCAAGGGGGUCAUCCCGACUUACCAACCCGAUGCAAACUGCGAAUACCGGAGAAUGUUAUCACGGGAGACACACGGCGGGUGCUAACGUCCGUCGUGAAGAGGGAAACAACCCAGACCGCCAGCUAAGGUCCCAAAGUCAUGGUUAAGUGGGAAACGAUGUGGGAAGGCCCAGACAGCCAGGAUGUUGGCUUAGAAGCAGCCAUCAUUUAAAGAAAGCGUAAUAGCUCACUGGUCGAGUCGGCCUGCGCGGAAGAUGUAACGGGGCUAAACCAUGCACCGAAGCUGCGGCAGCGACGCUUAUGCGUUGUUGGGUAGGGGAGCGUUCUGUAAGCCUGCGAAGGUGUGCUGUGAGGCAUGCUGGAGGUAUCAGAAGUGCGAAUGCUGACAUAAGUAACGAUAAAGCGGGUGAAAAGCCCGCUCGCCGGAAGACCAAGGGUUCCUGUCCAACGUUAAUCGGGGCAGGGUGAGUCGACCCCUAAGGCGAGGCCGAAAGGCGUAGUCGAUGGGAAACAGGUUAAUAUUCCUGUACUUGGUGUUACUGCGAAGGGGGACGGAGAAGGCUAUGUUGGCCGGGCGACGGUUGUCCCGGUUUAAGCGUGUAGGCUGGUUUUCCAGGCAAAUCCGGAAAAUCAAGGCUGAGGCGUGAUGACGAGGCACUACGGUGCUGAAGCAACAAAUGCCCUGCUUCCAGGAAAAGCCUCUAAGCAUCAGGUAACAUCAAAUCGUACCCCAAACCGACACAGGUGGUCAGGUAGAGAAUACCAAGGCGCUUGAGAGAACUCGGGUGAAGGAACUAGGCAAAAUGGUGCCGUAACUUCGGGAGAAGGCACGCUGAUAUGUAGGUGAAGCGACUUGCUCGUGGAGCUGAAAUCAGUCGAAGAUACCAGCUGGCUGCAACUGUUUAUUAAAAACACAGCACUGUGCAAACACGAAAGUGGACGUAUACGGUGUGACGCCUGCCCGGUGCCGGAAGGUUAAUUGAUGGGGUUAGCGCAAGCGAAGCUCUUGAUCGAAGCCCCGGUAAACGGCGGCCGUAACUAUAACGGUCCUAAGGUAGCGAAAUUCCUUGUCGGGUAAGUUCCGACCUGCACGAAUGGCGUAAUGAUGGCCAGGCUGUCUCCACCCGAGACUCAGUGAAAUUGAACUCGCUGUGAAGAUGCAGUGUACCCGCGGCAAGACGGAAAGACCCCGUGAACCUUUACUAUAGCUUGACACUGAACAUUGAGCCUUGAUGUGUAGGAUAGGUGGGAGGCUUUGAAGUGUGGACGCCAGUCUGCAUGGAGCCGACCUUGAAAUACCACCCUUUAAUGUUUGAUGUUCUAACGUUGACCCGUGAUCCGGGUUGCGGACAGUGUCUGGUGGGUAGUUUGACUGGGGCGGUCUCCUCCUAAAGAGUAACGGAGGAGCACGAAGGUUGGCUAAUCCUGGUCGGACAUCAGGAGGUUAGUGCAAUGGCAUAAGCCAGCUUGACUGCGAGCGUGACGGCGCGAGCAGGUGCGAAAGCAGGUCAUAGUGAUCCGGUGGUUCUGAAUGGAAGGGCCAUCGCUCAACGGAUAAAAGGUACUCCGGGGAUAACAGGCUGAUACCGCCCAAGAGUUCAUAUCGACGGCGGUGUUUGGCACCUCGAUGUCGGCUCAUCACAUCCUGGGGCUGAAGUAGGUCCCAAGGGUAUGGCUGUUCGCCAUUUAAAGUGGUACGCGAGCUGGGUUUAGAACGUCGUGAGACAGUUCGGUCCCUAUCUGCCGUGGGCGCUGGAGAAUUGAGGGGGCUGCUCCUAGUACGAGAGGACCGGAGUGGACGCAUCACUGGUGUUCGGGUUGUCAUGCCAAUGGCACUGCCCGGUAGCUAAAUGCGGAAGAGAUAAGUGCUGAAAGCAUCUAAGCACGAAACUUGCCCCGAGAUGAGUUCUCCCUGACUCCUUGAGAGUCCUGAAGGAACGUUGAAGACGACGACGUUGAUAGGCCGGAUGUGUAAGCGCAGCGAUGCGUUGAGCUAACCGGUACUAAUGAACCGUGAGGCUUAACCUUACAACGCCGAAGGUGUUU
rnacentral:rRNA from 1 species